UGAAUAGAAAGGUGGAAGACCUCUAAAUUGCCUCAGCUGAAUGAAACCAAGUGUUCAUUUCCAGAGAACUCGACUGCAUUGUGAUGAAAACGAAAGUGAAAGUAACCAUAGCAACGUGUUGAGGGCGUAGCCACCACAGCCAAUCUCGACGGCCUUGUUUGUACGCCAUACAGAUUGCAGUCCGCAAACAGACCUUGCAGGCCUAAGUCCUCUGGAACUGCUCGGUAGCCCAACUUGGACAUUCGGACCAGCAUACACUCCACCCCCUGAAGCUCAGGGCACCGUGACAACCAGAUGUCUCCUUCACAGGAAGAGUGCUACCAGACACACAUACACAUUCACACACUCGCAAUAUCCCCCCAAGACUGAUUCAUUCCCUCUUCUUCCCUCACAUACUCUUUCACUGACACACAUAUAAACAUUCAUGCAAACAAUAUCCUAAGCUACCACUUCUUUUUUCACACAGUCACACACACAUUGCCGCACACACACAAUCUGUUCUCACACAUGCUGGUUCAUGACUGAUGCCAAAUCUGGACUGCUUCUGUUCAGACUCCACUGUGGCUGGCAUUUGAGAUGGAUGAAGCCUUGCAGUGUCUGUGAACAGAAGCGCACAAGAACUCCAGCACACCGGGGAACGAGUGAAAAGGCCUAACUGUCAAGAUUCCCCGUCUCUACUCUCCAGACAGUCACUCAAACCGUUCAUUGCUCCAAACCAGAAUGUAGAAAAAACUUCCGUGAAGCGUCUUCCGCCCCUCGGGAACAAAUUGUGUUUACAGGAGACGGCCUUUUAGAUUGACACGAGCCGCGGUAUUAGACUGGACAGACUGUUUUUACAACCAAAGGGUCAGCGGCUAAUAUCAACACGACGAAACAAAGUCCACACUGCCCGAGAGGCUGAGCGGCAUGAUGUAAAAGGACUUCACUACACACCAGCACGUGAGCGAAUUGUUGUGCAACGUGCGCGAGUGCCUAUUUUUUUACAGUCUCUGGCGAGUAGGCCGAGGAGCGUGAAGAGGGGGCGGGAAAUGUGACAGAAAAAGUUUUCUGCCGCAGUCAACAUACAUACU